rnacentral:rRNA from 1 species
GGCUCAGAUUGAACGCUGGCGGCAGGCCUAACACAUGCAAGUCGAGCGGUAACAGAGAGUAGCUUGCUACUUUGCUGACGAGCGGCGGACGGGUGAGUAAUGCUUGGGAAUAUGCCUUUUGGUGGGGGACAACAGUUGGAAACGACUGCUAAUACCGCAUGAUGUCUACGGACCAAAGUGGGGGACCUUCGGGCCUCACGCCAAAAGAUUAGCCCAAGUGGGAUUAGCUAGUUGGUGAGGUAAUGGCUCACCAAGGCAACGAUCCCUAGCUGGUUUGAGAGGAUGAUCAGCCACACUGGGACUGAGACACGGCCCAGACUCCUACGGGAGGCAGCAGUGGGGAAUAUUGCACAAUGGGCGCAAGCCUGAUGCAGCCAUGCCGCGUGUGUGAAGAAGGCCUUCGGGUUGUAAAGCACUUUCAGUAAGGAGG